rnacentral:rRNA from 1 species
GACGAACGCUGGCGGCGUGCUUAACACAUGCAAGUCGAACGGAAAGGCCUCUUUCGGGGGGUACUCGAGUGGCGAACGGGUGAGUAACACGUGAGUAACCUGCCCUUGACUUUGGGAUAACUUCAGGAAACUGGGGCUAAUACCGGAUAGGAGCUCCUGCUGCAUGGUGGGGGUUGGAAAGUUUCGGCGGUUGGGGAUGGACUCGCGGCUUAUCAGCUUGUUGGUGGGGUAGUGGCUUACCAAGGCUUUGACGGGUAGCCGGCCUGAGAGGGUGACCGGCCACAUUGGGACUGAGGUACGGCCCAGACUCCUACGGGAGGCAGCGGGGGGGAAUAUUGCACAAUGGGUGGAAGCCUGAUGCAGCAACGCCGUGUGCGGGAUGACGGCCUUCGGGUUGUAAACCGCUUUCGCUCAUGACGAAGCUUUGUGUGACGGUAGUGGGUAAAGAAGCACCGGCUAACUACGUG